GGCGCCGCCGCGGUAACACCGGCGGCCCGAGUGGUGAUCGUGAUUAUUGGGUCUAAAGGGUCCGUAGCCGGUUUGGUCAGUCCUCCGGGAAAUCUGAUAGCUCAACUAUUAGGCUUUCGGGGGAUACUGCCAGACUUGGAACCGGGAGAGGUAAGAGGUACUACAGGGGUAGGAGUGAAAUCUUGUAAUCCCUGUGGGACCACCUGUGGCGAAGGCGUCUUACCAGAACGGGUUCGACGGUGAGGGACGAAAGCUGGGGGCACGAACCGGAUUAGAUACCCGGGUAGUCCCAGCCGUAAACGAUGCUCGCUAGGUGUCAGGCAUGGCGCGACCGUGUCUGGUGCCGCAGGGAAGCCGUGAAGCGAGCCACCUGGGAAGUACGGCCGCAAGGCUGAAACUUAAAGGAAUUGGCGGGGGAGCACAACAACGGGGUGGAGCCUGCGGUUUAAUUGGACUCAACGCCGGACAACUCACCGGGGGCGACAGCAAUAUGUAGGCCAAGCUGAAGACUUUGCCUGAAUCGCUGAGGGGAGGUGCAUGG
rnacentral:rRNA from 1 species